GUCCAGACUCCUACGGGAGGCAGCAGUGGGGAAUAUUGCACAAUGGGCGAAAGCCUGAUGCAGCUAUACCGCGUGUAUGAAGAAGGCCUUAGGGUUGUAAAGUACUUUCGUUGGGGAGGAAAAAUAAAUAGAUAAUACCUGUUUAUCGUGACGUUACCCAAAAAAGAAGCACCGGCUAACUCCGUGCCAGCAGCCGCGGUAAUACGGAGGGUGCAAGCGUUAAUCAGAAUUACUGGGCGUAAAGAGCUCGUAGGCGGUUUUUUAAGUCAGAUGUGAAAUCCCUGGGCUUAACCUAGGAACUGUAUUUGAAACUAAAAGACUAGAGUAUCGUAGAGGGAGGUAGAAUUCUAGGUGUAGCGGUGAAAUGCGUAGAUAUCUGGAGGAAUACCUGUGGCGAAAGCGGCCUCCUAAAUGAAUACUGACGCUGAGGUGCGAAAGCAUGGGGAGCAAACAGGAUUAGAUACCCUGGUAGUCCAUGCCGUAAACGAUGUCGACUUGGAGGUUGUUUCUUUGAGAAGUGACUUCCGAAGCUAACGCGUUAAGUCGACCGCCUGGGGAGUACGGUCGCAAGGCUAAAACUCAAAUGAAUUGACGGGGGCCCGCACAAGCGGUGGAGCAUGUGGUUUAAUUCGAUGCAACGCGAAAAACCUUACCUGGUCUUGACAUCCACAGAAUUUUUCAGAGAUGAAAAAGUGCCUUAGGGAACUGUGAGACAGGUGCUGCAUGGCUGUCGUCAGCUCGUGUUGUGAAAUGUUGGGUUAAGUCCCGCAACGAGCGCAACCCUUAUCCUCUGUUGCCAUUGGUUCGGCCAGGAACUCAGAGGAGACUGCCGGUUAUAAACCGGAGGAAGGCGGGGACGACGUCAAGUCAUCAUGGCCCUUACGACCAGGGCUACACACGUGCUACAAUGGUGUAUACAAAGAGAAGCAACUCUGCAAAGACAAGCAAACCUCAUAAAGUACAUCGUAGUCCGGACUGGAGUCUGCAACUCGAUCCC
rnacentral:rRNA from 2 species